GCAGUCGUGGCCGAGUGGUUAAGGCGAUGGACUCCACUGGGGUCUCCCCGCACAGGUUUGAAUCCUGUCGACUGCG
rnacentral:tRNA from 2 species